rnacentral:rRNA from 1 species
UAGGGAAGUCUUCGGCAAUGGGGGCGAACCCUGACCGAGCAACGCCGCGUGAGUGAAGAAGGUUUUCGGAUCGUAAAGCUCUGUUGUAAGAGAAGAACGUGUGUGAGAGUGGAAAGUUCACACAGUGACGGUAACUUACCAGAAAGGGACGGCUAACUACGUGCUAG